UUACUACUCCCUCUGUUCCGAAUUACUUGUCGCAGAUAUGGAUGUAUCUAGAUGUAUUUUAGUUCUAGAUACAUCCAUUUCUGCGACAAGUAAUUUGGAACGGAGGGAGUACCUA
rnacentral:pre_miRNA from 1 species